AGGUCGUCAUCAGGACUUGGCUGCAUGUUUGGUUUCGCUUAACUUGGCAUUGAGGUUUCAUUUGUACAAGUCCUCGUGGAGAUAUUGGUGGCAGGUUGAUGGACCCAUUUCCAGGGUAUAGCUCGCAAAACUGUCGCAGUGUGGUCUCGUUGUUCACCGUGUCCCUUAUUAGUCUGGCAAAGUCUUUGCUUCAGGAAGGUUGCCCAGACCAUGUCUUCAGCGAAGUCCUGCCUGACUCGAAUAUUAUGUACCACUCGGAUACUCGUUUGCAAAAUAAUGCCUAAUUUCUCUCAUCAUCACAUGUGGUGUCUCAUUGCCUGUCUAGCCCUGUGUACCAGGCUUUGACACACUGCUGAUAAUUGACGUCCAUAUGGGUUUUGCUGCAUCCACUGAUUCGAAUCUGGAUCAUUUCAUGAGCUUAAGGUGGACAGAACUUUUGGGGCAAAGUAGUAUUGAUGCAAAUUCAGA
rnacentral:lncRNA from 1 species